UACAGAGGUCCCAAGCGUUACUGAGAAUCACUGGGUUUAAAGGGUGCGUAGGUGGUCCGUUAAGUCAGUUGUGAAAUCCCCGGGCUCAACCCGGGAAAUGCUUCUGAUACUGGCGGACUUGAGGCCAGUAGGGGUCACUAGAACUGACGGUGGAGCGGUGAAAUGCGCAGAUAUCAGGAGGAACACCGGUGGCGAAGGCGGGUCUCUGGGCCGAUACUGACGCUGAGGAGCGAAAGCGUGGGGAGCGAACAGG
rnacentral:rRNA from 1 species